GGAAUGACAAGACACUUUGGACACAAGA
rnacentral:piRNA from 1 species